GACCGCCUAGCUCAGUUGGUUAGAGCGCUUCGCUUACAUCGAAGAGGUCAGGGGUUCAAAUCCCUUGGCGGUCACAA
rnacentral:tRNA from 1 species